rnacentral:lncRNA from 1 species
AAAUAUUGGUCAUACACAUGUGCAGAGCUACCCCCAAAGGGUGACCACCUGACAUACGCCCCAAAGGCUAUCUGUAUAUCAAGCGCUGUCCCAAAGACAGUAUAAAUAUAUCUAUCAUGCUGAAAAUAAAUCACCCGUCAUCAAGGUGUUAUCUGUUUGGUGCAUAUACAGAGUGUAAAUUCAAUUUCUCAUUCUCUGCCGAUGUGGGACAGAUUUGCGCCGCAAAUCCGCCAAGCUAGCAGCUCAAGCUGCUGACCGUUACACUCGGUCCCGCUAAAUUUUGCGACGUCCUCGUCGC